UCCAUGGCAGAUAACAAGCAGAGCCAGGACUCCAACCUCCUAGAGUCCAUCGCUGAGACACUGCUGAGUGGGCUGGACAGGAAGUGGGCACCACCAGUGGACUAGCAUGGAGGGUGAGGCGCAGCAGAGGGGACCAGCCAGCAGCCUGAGGCCACACUGGGGCAAAGCCCAUGUCCGAGCAGUCUUCUCCGGUGACUACUCCACAUCUGUUACUUGGACCUUAGGGUAAAAGGUCUAAGCUCACUUCUGGGUGUGAAAACCCAUCAAUCCUGCACUUGAUCCAAGCUCAAGACUUGAAAUCCCCAUCCUGGAAAUCUCCACCCUAGAAAAUUCUGUCCUCAAGAAACCCUAUAUAAAGCCUGCCUCCCACUCAGUUCACUGCUGCUUCCCACCCAAGCAGAGGUAGCCACCCUCUUAUGUCUUUCUCAAUAAAUCUCUUGUGUGA